rnacentral:rRNA from 1 species
CCCUUAGAUGUCCUGGGCCGCACGCGCGCUACACUGAGUGUCUGAGAUACGAGUCUGCCUGGUCCGGCAAGGUCUAGGUAAUCGCUAAAAGACACAUCAUGCUUGGGAUAGAUUAUUGCAAAUAUUAAUCUUGAACGAGGAAUUCCUAGUAAGCGCAAGUCAACAGCUUGCGUUGAUUACGUCCCCGCCCUUUGUACACACCGCCCGUCGCUACUACUGAUUGGAUGUUUAAGCGAGGUUCUCGAACUGCUAGCGACUUAGCUUCGGUGAGGUCGCAGUGUGGGGAGUGAACCUAGCUUUGGUGUCUAGAGGAAGUAAAAGUCGUAACA